rnacentral:rRNA from 15 species
GUUAUUAAGGCAUUAAGUGGAUACUUAAGCAUUAAGAUUUCAAAUGGACGUUUUAUAACGAAAUGUUGCAAGGAGUAAAUUCAUUAUGCUGAGAUCUGCAACUUUCCAUAAAUUCGGAAAACCGAUCUUCUACCGAUUGAAGAAUUAUUUAAAAUUUUUUAAAUAAAAAACUUGGUGAACUGAAUCAUCUAAGUAACCAAAGUACAAAAUCAACCGAGAUACUGUUAGUAGUGGCGAGCGAAUGCAGUAAAAGACUCAAAAACUUUAUAAACUUUUAUUUAAUUCGAAGUAAGCCAUAGAAGGUAACCUAUUUAAAGGAUAGCCCUGUAAAAUAAAAGGUAAGUUUUUUUUUAGUAAAAUAGACCAAGUCAUGGUUUGUUUGAAUGUUGGGGGCCCACCCUCAAAGUCUGAAAAUCUUAAUGACUGAUAGUGAAAAGUACCGUGAGGGAAAAGUGAAAAAGACUUUGCGAAAGUGAAAAGACUUUGAAACUUAAUGCUGACGAUCUGUCAGAGUUUUUAAAAUAAUGACGUACCUUUUGUAUAAUGGACCAACAAGUUUAUUCUAGCGGCGAGCUUAAAUAACUAGAUAUGUAGGCGUAAAGAAAUUAAGUUUUAAAAUGCUUUUUAGUCGCUAAAAUAAGACCCGAAACUAAGUGAUCUAAUCAUGAACUGGUUGAAAUUUAGGCGGAAACGCCUUUUGGAGGACCGAACCCGUGUAUGUGGAAAAAUACUGGGAUGAUUUGUGAUUAGGGGUGAAAGGCCAAUCAAACUUAGAGAUAGCUGGUUUUCUGCGAAAUCUAUUUAAGUAGAGCGUUUAAAGAACUUCGUUAGGGGUAGAGCUCUCGAUAAACAAUGGGGGCUUAACGCUUUACUGAGUUUAUUGAAACUUCGAAUACUAAUUGUAAUGACUUUAAACAGACAGACUAUGAGUGCUAAGAUUCAUGGUCAAGAGGGAAACAGCCCAGAUUACUAACUAAGGCUCUUAAAAAUAAUUAAGUGAUAAAAUUGUGAAAAAAUGUAAACAACCGAAAGGUAGGCUUAGAAGCAGCCAUCCUUUAAAGAAAGCGUAACAGCUCAUUGGUUUAGUUUUUUUGCAUUGAAAAUGUAAGGAACUAAAAUUAUUUGCCGAAGUUGUAAAUUUAAGAAAUUAAAUGGUAGCAGAACGUUCUGUAAGUUUAAGAAGUUUUAUAGCAAUAUAAAAUGGAAAUAUCAGAAAUGAAAAUGUUGGUAUGAGUAACGACAAACAAUGUGUGAAGCAUUGUCGCCUUAAGUUCAAGGUUUCCAAAACAAGGCUAAUCCGUUUUGGUAUUUAUUGUUAAUCGGUCUCUAAGAAUUUAAAACGAAAGUUUUAUUUCGAUGAGGCAAAAAUAAUUUUUUAUGUUUUAAAAGUGACAAAAUAUGAAUAUUAUCUUUAUUUCAUGGUUUAAAUAGAGGUUUUAUAAUAUUUUCUAGAAAAAGCUUUUAAUCUAAAUUAACCGUACCCUAAACCGACACAGGUGAACAAGUUUAGUAAACUAAGGCGCUUGAGAGAAUUAUGUUGAAGGAACUCGGCAAAAUGACUCCGUAACUUCGGAAUAAGGAGUGACUUUCGAAGGGCAACCUUCGAAAGUUGUCACAAAAUCGGGGACAGCGACUGUUUAUUAAAAACACAGGUUUCUGCUAAUUCGUAAGAAGAUGUAUUGAAACUGACGCCUGCCCAGUGCUGCAAGAUUAAAGGAAAAGGUCUUUUGGCUUUAACCCUAACUCCCAGUAAACGGCGGCUGUAACUCUGACGGUCCUAAGGUAGCGAAAUUCCUUGGCAUUUAAUUGGUGUCCUGCAUGAAUGGCGUAACGACUGUCCCACUGUCUCCAACAUAAACUCAGUGAAAUUGAAUUUUUCGUGAAGAUGCGAAAUUCUUGCGGCUAGACGGAAAGACCCCGUGCACCUUUACG